AUGCCCUUCCCACGCCGCGUCAGUCAAACACCGGCCCUCUUUCUCCCAAUCCCCGCAGCCGUCGCGCCCGGCACACCUCCCUUCUCCACUCCCCCCCGCACCCCACCCUUCCCAGCCGAGCUUGUUCCUCUAGCCACCCACUCGUCUGCUCCUCCUCCUCCUCCUCUCUCUCUUCUAGCUUCCUCCUCCUUCCUGAUCUCUACGUCGGCCGGACCACGAGAGGAGCGGCGGUGGCGGAGACGCUCCGGUGGCGGCAUCGAGUUGCGAACCCCAGGAACCAGGUCUGGGGGUUCGGUUCCAAGGCGCGGACGGCUUCUCCGCCUAUGA
rnacentral:rRNA from 1 species